GAUGAACGCUGGCGGCGUGCCUAAUACAUGCAAGUCGAGCGAACAGACGAGGAGCUUGCUCCUCUGACGUUAGCGGCGGACGGGUGAGUAACACGUGGAUAACCUACCUAUAAGACUGGGAUAACUUCGGGAAACCGGAGCUAAUACCGGAUAAUAUAUUGAACCGCAUGGUUCAAUAGUGAAAGACGGUUUUGCUGUCACUUAUAGAUGGAUCCGCGCCGCAUUAGCUAGUUGGUAAGGUAACGGCUUACCAAGGCAACGAUGCGUAGCCGACCUGAGAGGGUGAUCGGCGACACUGGAACGGAGACACGGUCCAGACUCCUACGGGAGGCAGCAGUAGGGAAUCUUCCGCAAUGGGCGAAAGCUUGACGGAGCAACGCCGCGUGAGUGAUGAAGGUCUUCGGAUCGUAAAACUCUGUUAUUAGGGAAGAACAAAUGUGUAAGUAACUAUGCACGUCUUGACGGUACCUAAUCAGAAAGCCACGGCUAACUACGUG
rnacentral:rRNA from 1 species